AGAAUCAAUGCUGGCGGCGUGCCUAACACAUGCAAGUCGCACGAGAAAGGGGAGCAAUCCCUGAGUAAAGUGGCGCACGGGUGAGUAACACGUGACUAACCUACCUCCGAGUGGGGAAUAACUGAGAGAAAUCUUAGCUAAUACCGCAUAACACUUACGAGUCAAAGCAGCAAUGCGCUUGGAGAGGGGGUCGCGGCAGAUUAGUUAGUUGGCGGGGUAAUGGCCCACCAAGACGAUGAUCUGUAUCCGGCCUGAGAGGGCGCACGGACACACUGGAACUGAAACACGGUCCAGACUCCUACGGGAGGCAGCAGUGGGGAAUUUUGGCGCAAUGGGGGAAACCCUGACGCAGCAACGCCGCGUGGAGGAUGAAAUAUCUUGGUAUGUAAACUCCUUUCGAUGGGGAAGAUUAUGACGGUACCAUAGAAGAAGCCCGGCUAACUUCGCGCCAGCAGCCGC
rnacentral:rRNA from 1 species